CUAGCCCUAAACCAUCAGGACUUGGGGUUUGCCCUGUACGGGGCAAGUCCCGUAGCUAACGCGUUAAGUCCUGCGCCUGGGGAGUACGGUCGCAAGACUGAAACUCAAAGGAAUUGACGGGGGCCCGCACAAGCGGUGGAACAUGUGGUUCAAUUCGACGCAACGCGAAGAACCUUACCUGGGCUUGAACCGCACAGGACCAUCUUUGGAAACAGAGACUUCCCGCAAGGGACCUGUGUAGAGGUGCUGCAUGGCUGUCGUCAGCUCGUGCCGUGAGGUGUUGGGUUAAGUCCCGCAACGAGCGCAACCCUUACUCUUAGUUGCCACCCGCAAGGGGGAACUCUAAGAGGACUGCUCCGGAUAACGGAGAGGAAGGUGGGGAUGAGGUCAAGUCAGCAUGGCCUUUAUGUCCAGGGCAACACACGUGUUACAAUGCGCGCCACAAAGCGUUGCAAACCCGUGAGGGGGAGCUAAUCGCAAAAAAGCGCGCUCAGUUCGGAUUGCAGUCUGCAACUCGACUGCAUGAAGCCGGAAUCGCUAGUAAUGGCGCAUCAGAACGGCGCCGUGAAUACGUUCCCGGGCCUUGUACUCACUGCCAGUCAGACCGGCCAC
rnacentral:rRNA from 1 species